GUACAUGAGCCUUGGGUUUUGUUUAAAGCACCAACUCACAAAUCUGACUCAAAGAAUACUUAUUGGGAGCAACUAACUACAUGAAAUGCAGAGAUGCAUGUAUCUGGCAGCUUCCUGGCAACCCCAGAUCUCUGAUCUAAUUUUAUUCCUGCGAAGUUUGGAUUUAGAAGAAAAUGCACAGCAGCCUCACUGGGGAGAAGAAGGCUGGAGGAAAAUGAAGGAUUCCAGGAGAGAAGAAAUCACAUAACAUAGCCACUCAAAUAAGUUGAAAACAUCUAUCUACAGAAAAACCUGCACAGAGGUAUUUACAGCAGCUUUGCUCUUAAUUGCCCAAACCAGGAUACCACCAAAAUAUCCUUUACUAGGUGACUAAACAAAGUGGGCACAUCCAUACAAUGCAGUUUUGUUAAGCAAUAAAAAGAAAUGAGGGCUUGAGCCA
ensembl:lncRNA